rnacentral:rRNA from 1 species
GACGCACAGCGAAAGGUGCUUGCACCUUUCAAGUGAGUGGCGAACGGGUGAGUAACACGUGGACAACCUGCCUCAAGGCUGGGGAUAACAUUUGGAAACAGAUGCUAAUACCGAAUAAAACUUAGUGUCGCAUGACACAAAGUUAAAAGGCGCUUUGGCGUCACCUAGAGAUGGAUCCGCGGUGCAUUAGUUAGUUGGUGGGGUAAAGGCCUACCAAGACAAUGAUGCAUAGCCGAGUUGAGAGACUGAUCGGCCACAUUGGGACUGAGACACGGCCCAAACUCCUACGGGAGGCUGCAGUAGGGAAUCUUCCACAAUGGGCGAAAGCCUGAUGGAGCAACGCCGCGUGUGUGAUGAAGGCUUUCGGGUCGUAAAGCACUGUUGUAUGGGAAGAACAGCUAGAAUAGGGAAUGAUUUUAGUUU